GCCGAACCGUACGAACGUUAUUCGGAAUCACUGGGCUUAAAGGGUGCGUAGGCGGCGCUGAAAGUUGGGUGUGAAAUCCCUCGGCUUAACCGAGGAACUGCGCCCAAAACUACAGUGCUUGAGGGAGAUAGAGGUGAGCGGAACUUAGGGUGGAGCGGUGAAAUGCGUUGAUAUCCUAAGGAACGCCAGGGGCGAAAGCGGCUCACUGGGUCUCUUCUGACGCUGAGGCACGAAAGCUAGGGUAGAGAACGGG
rnacentral:rRNA from 1 species